UAGUAACUGCGAGUGAAGCGGGAAAAGCUCAAAUUUAAAAUCUGGCGGUCUCUGGCCGUCCGAGUUGUAAUCUAGAGAAGUGCUGCCCGCGCUGGACCGUGUACAAGUCUCCUGGAAUGGAGCGUCAUAGAGGGUGAGAAUCCCGUCUCUGACACGGACUACCAGGGCUUUGUGGUACGCUCUCAAAGAGUCGAGUUGUUUGGGAAUGCAGCUCAAAAUGGGUGGUAAAUUCCAUCUAAAGCUAAAUAUUGGCGAGAGACCGAUAGCGAACAAGUACCGUGAGGGAAAGAUGAAAAGAACUUUGGAAAGAGAGUUAAACAGUACGUGAAAUUGCUGAAAGGGAAACGCUUGAAGUCAGUCGCGUUGGCCGGGGAUCAGCCUCGCUUUUUUGCGUGGUGUACUUUCUGGUUGGCGGGUCAGCAUCAAUUUUGACCGCUGGAAAAAGGCUUGGGGAAUGUGGCAGCUUCGGCUGUGUUAUAGCCCUUUGUCACAUACAGCGGUUGGGAUUGAGGAACUCAGCACGCCGCAAGGCCGGGUUUCGACCACGUUCGUGCUUAGGAUGCUGGCAUAAUGGCUUUAAGCGACCCGUCUUGAAACACGGACCAAGGAGUCUAACAUGCCUGCGAGUGUUUGGGUGGAAAACCCGAGCGCGUAAUGAAAGUGAAAGUUGAGAUCCCUGUCGUGGGGAGCAUCGACGCCCGGACCAGAACUUUUGGGACGGAUCCGCGGUAGAGCAUGUAUGUUGGGACCCGAAAGAUGGUGAACUAUGCCUGAAUAGGGUGAAGCCAGAGGAAACUCU
rnacentral:rRNA from 1 species